rnacentral:pre_miRNA from 15 species
GGUACUUGGAGGGAGGUUGUCCGUGGUGAGUUCGCAUUAUCUAAUGAUGCCCAAUACACGGUCGAUCUCUUUUCGGUAUC